rnacentral:rRNA from 1 species
GAUGAACGCUGGCGGCGUGCUUAACACAUGCAAGUCGAACGGAAAGGCCCAAGCUUGCUUGGGUACUCGAGUGGCGAACGGGUGAGUAACACGUGGGUGAUCUGCCCUGAACUUCGGGAUAAGACUGGGAAACUGGGUCUAAUACCGGAUAGGACGAUGGUUUGGAUGCCAUUGUGGAAAGUUUUUUCGGUGUGGGAUGAGCUCGCGGCCUAUCAGCUUGUUGGUGGGGUAAUGGCCUACCAAGGCGUCGACGGGUAGCCGGCCUGAGAGGGUGUACGGCCACAUUGGAACUGAGAGACGGCCCAGACUCCUACGGGAGGCAGCAGGGGGGAAUAUUGCACAAUGGGCGCAAGCCUGAUGCAGCGACGCCGCGUGGUGGAUGACGGCCUUCAGGUUGUAAACUCCUUUCGCUAGGGACGAAGCGUUUUUGUGACGGUACCUGGAGAAGAAGCACCGGCUAACUACGUG